CGUUCCCGGGCCUUGUACACACCGCCCGUCACACCAUGGGAGUUGGUUUUACCUUAAGUGUCUAGGCUAACCGCAAGGAGGCCGGUCACCACGGUAGGGUCAGCGACUGGGGUG
rnacentral:rRNA from 1 species